rnacentral:snRNA from 1 species
AUACUUACCUGGACGGGGUCAAUAGGUGAUCAUGAAGGCCCAUGGCCUAGGCUUGUGACCUCCAUUGCACUUUGGAGGGGUGCUUGCCUAAGGUCGGUCCAAGUGAUUGAGCCUACGUCAUAAUUUGUUGCUGAGGGGGCCUGCGUUCACGCGGCCCUUG